rnacentral:misc_RNA from 1 species
GAUGAAGAACGUAGCGAAAUGCGAUAAGUAAUGUGAAUUGCAGAAUUCAGUGAAUCAUCGAAUCUUUGAACGCACAUUGCGCCCGCCAGCAUUCUGGCGGGCAUGCCUGUUCGAGCGUCAUUUCAACCCUCGAGCCCGACUCUUUUGAGGACGGCUCGGCGUUGGGGGACGGCAGACUCCCCCCGGCAUCUCGCCGGGGACGCCGCCCCCGAAAUCUAGUGGCGGCCCUCCGAGGCGACCUCUGCGUAGUAACUUGUUCUCGCACCGGAAAGCUCAGAGCAGCCACGCCGUAAAACCCCAACUUUUUUCAGGUUGACCUCGAAUCAGGUAGGACUACCCGCUGAACUUAAGCAUAUCAAUAAGCGGAGGA